GAUGAACGCUAGCGGGAGGCCUAACACAUGCAAGCCGAGCGGUAUUGUUUCUUCGGAAAUGAGAGAGCGGCGUACGGGUGCGGAACACGUGUGCAACCUGCCUUUAUCUGGGGGAUAGCCUUUCGAAAGGAAGAUUAAUACUCCAUAAUAUAAUGAACGGCAUCGUUUAAUAUUGAAAGCUCCGGCGGAUAGAGAUGGGCACGCGCAAGAUUAGCUAGUUGGUGAGGUAACGGCUCACCAAGGCGAUGAUCUUUAGGGGGCCUGAGAGGGUGAUCCCCCACACUGGUACUGAGACACGGACCAGACUCCUACGGGAGGCAGCAGUGAGGAAUAUUGGUCAAUGGGUGCAAGCCUGAACCAGCCAUCCCGCGUGAAGGACGACUGCCCUAUGGGUUGUAAACUUCUUUUGUAUAGGGAUAAACCUACUCUCGUGAGGGUAGCUGAAGGUACUAUACGAAUAAGCACCGGCUAACUCCGUGCCAGCAGCCGCAGUAAAAC
rnacentral:rRNA from 1 species